UCGUUGUCGUAGAUUGAAACGGGUUACUUUGUUACUUAGGAACUAAAUUAUGGGCUGCCGGAACUCAGCGGAGAGGGAUGGUGGGUAAAUAUAAGUCCACUUGGAGGAUAAGUGUAUUGUUUCUUCAAACACGCCAAGCUUGUGGUGAUUACAGGCUUAUGGCCCAGAAGUAUACUUUUGGGUUCACAGAUAUAAAAAAUUUGCAAUUUGUGCCGCAAUGUUGAUUCGAGGUCGUGCGGGAGGGUGUAAUACAUAACAGGAAGACCUUACAUGCAUGGGAUAUGGGAGAAUAGUCUCCAGCAGCACGAUCCAACCCCUGUACGCAGUCCACUCAGGCAAUGAUCUUUUCCAUGCAGAUAACUUGCUCCUCGGAAGACCGUAAUCAGAGAUAUAAGGGGUGUAGUGGUCUAGCCUUGCGAGAGAUAUACCAGGAUAUAGUUCAAAAUAUCGACUUGAGGUGGUAAUAAGAAGGCCUAAAAUGAGAUUAAUGUUUAGAAGGAUAUACCCUUUAGGGUAUUUUCGGGAAGUGGGUUCUUACCGUAGUUGUUGUGUGGCCUGAAGAUUGGAAUUUGACAAGAGAACGGGUACUUAAUAAAAAUCCCCAAUACUGUGGGCGAGUUAUUCCUUUAGAUAACCCAAAUAUAGUUAUUCCCGUAUUGAAUAUUUUGGUUUCUUCAAAUCCACAAAGUGAUGAGCUCAAAAUUCUUGCUCCAGAGAAGAUAACCAAACUCAACUCUCAUUACCAGAGAAAAAACCCUUUUCUUUUUCCUUUCCUUUUUUUUCCCUAUCAACGUUAUUCAAGGUCGAAUUAUUCUGAUUGUCUUUAGGCACAAAAAACUGAACUGAAUUGUUUUGAAUGUUAUACAGGGUGGAUGCUGUGCAUAAAUAUAUGAUUUCAAUA